CAGGCCGGCGCGGCGGUUCACGCCUGUAAUCCCAGCACUUUGAGAGGACAAGGCGGGUGAUCCACCCACCUGGGCCUCCCAAAAUGCAGGGAUUACAAGCGUAAGCCACCGUGCCCAGCCUACUUAAACUUUUUGAGUUCCAGUUUUCUCAUCUGAAACAUGAUAAUAGGUAAUAAUAAUAAAAAAUAAAAAUCUUGCAGAAUUGUUCAUUUAUUUAUUCAACAAUUAUUUGCUUAGUGCUGUCUAACAAACAACUGCUGAGGAGGCUGUAGUGUUUGGGAUAUAGUAGUGAAUGAUACAGGCAAGGUCUUAGCUAUCUUGGAGCCCACAGUAACAGCUCAGCAAAGGACAGCGUCAUCAGCACUGCCACCUCCACCAUUGUCAUCGUUGUCAUCAGUGAAAUUUCCCUUAACGUUGAAUAUUGAUUUAAGAACAUUGGUUAGCCCAGAGCACUGCAUUUUUUAAAAACUAGAUUAAACUUUUUAUGUUGAGAUAAUUAUGGAUUCACAUUCAUUUGUAAGAACUAUUACAGGGAGAUCUUUUGUACCUUGCAAAACUAGAGUACAAGAUCACAAGAGAAUAUUGACACUGAUAUAAUCCACCAGUCUUAAUCAGAUUUCUCCACUUUCACUUGGCGUGUGUGUGUGUGUGUGUCUGUGUGUGUGCGUAUAUUUAGUUCUAGGCAAUUUUAUCGCCUAUGUAGGUUGAUAUACCCACCACCAUAGUGAAGAUACAGAAUAGGCCAGGCACAGUUGCUCAUACCUAUAAUCCCAGCACUUUGGGAGACCAAAGUGGGAAGAUUGCUUGAGGCCAGAAGUUUUUGAGAGCAGCCUGCAACACAGUGAGACCUAUUUUUUUUUCCUAAGAUAAAAACAAAACAAAACAACAAGAUACGGAAAAGAUCCAUCUCUAGGAGGAUUCCAUGUGUUGUUAACUAUUGCCGCCCCCGCGCCGCCCCCACCCCGCCUGGCGCCCCGCCCCCUCACCCCGUCCCCCCCGCCCCGCGCCCCGCCCCUCCCCCCCCCCACCCCGUCCCCCUUACACAGUUCCUCAUCUCUGGUAACAACUAAUCUGCUCUCCAUUUCUUUCAUUUUAUCAUUUCAAAAAUGUUAUAUAAAUGGGAUAAUACAAUAUGUAACUUUUGGGAUUAGCAUUUUUCACUCAGCAGAAUUCCCCAGAAAUUAACCUGAUCCUUUUUUUGUUUUUUAUUUGGAGGCGGGUGGAAAGGAACGUCCCUCUGUUGCCCAGGCUGGAGUGCAGUGGCGCGAUCUCGGCUCACGCAGCUUCCACCUCUGAGGUUCAAGCGAUUCUCUCGCCUCAGCCUCCAGAGUAGCUGGGAUUACAGGUGCGCGCCACCCUGCCUGGCUAAUUUUUGUAAUUAAUUUUUUUUUAGUGGGAUCGGGGUUUCGCCGUGUUGGCCAUGCUGGUCUUGAACUCCGGACCUCAAGUGAUCUGCCCACCUCCGCCUCCCAAAGUGCUGAGAUUACAGGCAUGAGCCACCGCGCCCGGCCUAACCCGUUCCUUUUUAUUGUUGAUUACUAUUGCGUGAUGGAUGGACCACAACUUAACUAACCAUUCACAAAUCGAAGGACAUGUAGGUUGUUUCUAGUUUUUAAAUACUAUGAACAGAACUGCAAUACAUAUUUGUUUACAGGUUUUUGUGAACAUAGUUUUCGUUUCUCUGAAAUAAAUUUCUAAGAGUGCAAUUACUGGGUCUUAUGGUAAUGAUAUGCUUCAGUUUACAAUAAACUGCUAAAUUG
ensembl:lncRNA